CCCCAGACUGGCAGCCACGAGGUCCUUCCCUGUGUCCUUCCGGCCCCCACGGGAGAGGAGUGGCAGGCACGGAAAGAGAAGUUCGCGGCGGUGGUGUCUGGGAUGGUUCGGGGACUGAGGAGGGCGGGAGAGGAGGUCUGCCGUCCCCUGUCCCUGCCGGCACUUGGGAUCAGACACAGUUGUGUUCAGGCAGAAUGACAGCGCCACAAAGGAGUUUCCGAGAUUCUAAAUCCACAGACGCACCCGCUGGAUGUCCCUCACUCGGCAGGAUGCGAUGCUGACUGUCAUCGAAUAGAGACGAGAGCGUCUCACUCGGGCAGUGCCUCUGUGAUGAAACUCUCAUCGUACGAGCCCCGCACGCAGCCUUGGGGUGGGGGGCCCUCAGCACGUGGCAUCAGCGGGUACGUGUGACAUGUGACCGACCGUGGCCAAGUAGUGCCGGGGACGUCAGCUCUGCAGGGCAAGGGGCAAAGGUGGUUUCCUUUUGGAUUUGUCCUGCUAAGCGAUACGAGAUGAGCGGUUGGUUGUGCACGGAUCGUGACUUACUCCACGCUAAGGAGCCAUUCACAAGAUGCGAGUGUUGCUAUAAUUUGGAGGAGUCGCUGCAGAAGCGAGCGUAAUUCCGACUCUGUGUUCCCCGACCCUGGCUAGCUCCAUGACAGUUUUUGUUUCCUAUGAAAGCAGCCUGCUUAUUGGUAAUUCCUUUAAAUAAAGGAAUUAUUUUCCCAAGCAA